UACGUAGGGGGCAAGCGUUGUCCGGAAUCAUUGGGCGUAAAGAGCGUGUAGGCGGCUCGGUAAGUCCGCUGUGAAAGUCCAGGGCUCAACCCUGGAAUGCCGGUGGAAACUGUCGAGCUCGAGUCCGGAAGAGGCGAGUGGAAUUCCUGGUGUAGCGGUGAAAUGCGCAGAUAUCAGGAGGAACACCAAUGGCGAAGGCAGCUCGCUGGGACGGUACUGACGCUGAGACGCGAAGGCCAGGGGAGCAAACGGG
rnacentral:rRNA from 1 species